UACGAGGGGUGCAAGCGUUGUUCGGAAUUAUUGGGCGUAAAGGGCGCGUAGGCGGUUUGACAAGUCUGAUGUGAAAUCUCUGGGCUCAACCCAGAGUCUGCAUUAGAAACUGUCGGGCUUGAGUAUGGGAGAGGUGAGUGGAAUUUCCGGUGUAGCGGUGAAAUGCGUAGAUAUCGGAAGGAACACCUGUGGCGAAAGCGGCUCACUGGACCAUAACUGACGCUGAGGCGCGAAAGCUAGGGGAGCAAACAGG
rnacentral:rRNA from 1 species